rnacentral:rRNA from 1 species
GGGUCAGUAGGUUGGUCGUGCCACCGGUACGUACUGGUCUCACUGAUUCCUCUUUCCUGAAGAACCGUAAUGCCACUAAUUUGGUGUUGCGGGGAAACAGGACUGUUACUUUGAAAAAAUUAGAGUGUUUAAAGCAAGCUAACGCUUGAAUACAUUAGCAUGGAAUAAUGAAAUAGGACGAUCGAUCCUAUUUUGUUGGUUCCUAGGAUUGACGUA